rnacentral:rRNA from 1 species
CCUACGGGAGGCAGCAGUGGGGAAUAUUGCACAAUGGGGGAAACCCUGAUGCAGCGACGCCGCGUGAGUGAAGAAGUAAUUCGUUAUGUAAAGCUCUAUCAGCAGGGAAGAAAAUGACGGUACCUGAGUAAGAAGCCCCGGCUAACUACGUGCCAGCAGCCGCGGUAAUAAGUAGGGGGCAAGCGUUAUCCGGAUUUACUGGGUGUAAAGGGAGCGUAGACGGCAGUGCAAGUCUGGAGUGAAAGGCGGGGGCUCAACCCCCGGACUGCUCUGGAAACUGUACGGCUGGAGUGCAGGAGAGGUAAGUGGAAUUCCUAGUGUAGCGGUGAAAUGCGUAGAUAUUAGGAGGAACACCAGUGGCGAAGGCGGCUUACUGGACUGUAACUGACGUUGAGGCUCGAAAGCGUGGGGAGCAAACAGGAUUAGAUACCCUGGUAGUC